ACUGAGUAACUACUCAGACUGAGUAAAGCUUGCUUCAUUUAGAAUUGAAACAAACUUUUGCUCAUAUUGUGGCGCUCCUGGUGGACGGAUUUGGAAGUUCUUGGCGCCCACGUGUCGGGAAUUUUGUCAGCUUCACGUAUGAUUUUUGACAUUCCGCAAAUCGAUACUACUUUGUAAACAAUCAACAUGAAAGCUGAAAGAAGGGAAAAAAUUGUGCACAGUUUUUUGGAAAAUCCAUUGUAGUCUGCAUCUAGGCUAGCUAAACAGCUGAAAUUGCCCAGAAAUACCGUAUGGCGCGUUAUCAAACGGUAUAAGGAAACAUUGACGACGAUUCGGAAGCCUCAAGCCAAUCGUCGGAGUAGAACUGUCGACCGGAAAUUGCGUGGUAAGAUUUUGGAGACGAUUAAGAGGAAUCCUAAUCUGUCGGACCGUAAUUUGGCCAGAAAAUUCGGUGCUGCCCAUAGUACUGUGAGGAGAAAUCGACUCCGGGAAGGAUUCAAGUCAAAAUUCGUGCUCGGAAACUAUAUGACCAGGUGCUGACCAAGUUCGACGGGUGUCUUCUGAUGGACGAUGAAACCUAUGUCAAGGCUAACUUCGGGCAAAUCCCAGGUCAAAAAUUUUACUUGGCAACGGAUGUUCCAACCAAAUAUAAAUUAGUUUUUGCCGACAAAUUUGCAAGAAAAUUUAUGAUUUAGCAGGGCAUUUGCAGCUAUGGCAAAAACGAAAGUUUUCGUUACAAAUAAGACAAUGACAUCGGAACUAUACCAGAAAGAGUGUCUCCAAAAACGAAUUUUGCCGUUCAUUGGAUCCUACGACAAUCCCGCAAUGUUUUGGUCAGAUUUGGCAAGCUGUCAUUACAGCAAAGUCGUUCAAGAAUGUUCCGCCCUAUUGAGAAAUACUGGGCAAUCAUGAAGAGGAGACUCAAGGCAAAGGGAAAGGUUGUCAAGGACAUCAAUCAGAUGACGACCUGGUGGAAUAAGCUAAAACGAUGGACGAAGAAGGUGUGCGCCGAGAAUUCCUUCGAAACCGUGACGAAUAAUUUUAUCCGUAUUUUUUCUUAAAAGUAUGAAGAAAGCGCUACAUUUGUAUAAAAAAGAUCUUGAAUUCAAUAAUAAAUAACUGAAAUACAGGCAA